GAAGUUAUUAGACUUCACAAUGACAAUUUGUAAAACACAAUCUGAUACCUCACUCAUACAGGACAGGGACAUAUCGUUACGGUAUACCAAUUUUGUAUUUUAAAAGUGAAAUAAAACAUUACAAAGAUUUUCUGUAACUCUUUGUUGGUUGAUACUUGAUUUUAUACUUGGAUGUGCAAUUUUAUCAACUGAACGUAAUAUAUUAGCAUAAACUGUCAUGGGUGCAAUCAAACAUACAGGUGUGUGAAAUUAUUAAUAGUAUCUUUUUCAUAGGAAAAUUGAGACAAAUAAUAUUUCUGUUUAUAAACAACAGAAGAUCAGACAAAGAGAGAAAAAAAAAGGAAAAAGACUAAAAACACAGAUCAAAAUUAUGAUUCUUUAGUUUUGUUAAGUCCUCAACGUUUGUAUAAUGUACAAGACAUUUCCAAGCUUUGGUUUCGAGCAGAACUGUAUAUGUACAAAUUGUAAUUCAUGCACAUCUGUUACAGUAAAAUUGGUAUCGGGAAUGGUAUGAACAAAAAAUUAUAUAUUUAAACAACACUAACUCGAUAUAACCCGGUGAUGAACUCACGUGUGCUAACAGGGGAGAUCAAUAUCUAUCAUUAAUUGCACACAUCAAUAUUUUUGAAAUCAAUAGCAAUAUUUAUGUUCGAUGACCAUGCUAUUAGAAAACUCUUGAAAUAGAUAUUAACUAGGAAUUACUUCAAAAUAAAUUAGAAAAAAACAACCCCAAAAUACCCCAAAAGAAUACCUGUGUAUACACCGCAUCACUAUUUAAACACAAAGGCUCCCGUAAAAUUUUGACGUCAUCAUGAAUAAUAUCUGACGCCACAAUUGUUAUAAAAUGAAUGAAAACAAUGAUACAUCUCUGCCGGC
rnacentral:lncRNA from 1 species